GGAAUCUUAGACAAUGGGCGCAAGCCUGAUCUAGCCAUGCCGCGUGAGUGAUGAAGGCCUUAGGGUCGUAAAGCUCUUUCGCCAGAGAUGAUAAUGACAGUAUCUGGUAAAGAAACCCCGGCUAACUCCGUGCCAGCAGACGCGGUAAUACGGAGGGGGUUAGCGUUUUUCGGAAUUACUGGGCGUAAAGCGCACGUAGGGGGAUCAGAAAGUUGGGGGUGAAAGCCCGGGUCUAAACCCCGGAACGGCCUCCAAAACUCCUGGUCUUGAGUUCGAGAGAGGUGAGUGGAAUUCCGAGUGUAGAGGUGAAAUUCGUAGAUAUUCGGAGGAACACCAGUGGCGAAGGCGGCUCACUGGCUCGAUACUGACGCUGAGGUGCGAAAGUGUGGGGAGCAAAC
rnacentral:rRNA from 1 species